GGCUCCCCCGGGGCCGGGGUUUGCAAAGCAGGAGAGGGGGGGCUCUGCUCCGGGGGCCGCGGCCUCCCCCAGCACUUGGUAACGGGACGGGGAUCCCGCUGGGACGGGCCAGAGGGGCCCUGGAAGCGCGUGGGGCCACCUGUGUGAGCGGGGAGAGCGGACUGCUCCGGCCGGCCCCGCACAAUACCGGAGCGAGCAGGUAACUCCAGCCUAUGGCUCGCUCCCCGCUCGCGGGUACCCGCAGGGCCGCGUCUCGGAGGCGGGCUGGUCGAUUUCACGGCCAGGUGCCCACGGGCGGAUGGAACAGGAAAGGGAGCCCGGGGAACGGAGACUUUUACAAGAUCGACGCACUGGCAGAUCCGCUUCCAGGGAAACUUUAUUCCACAACCCUGGGGGGCGGGGAAUAAACACGGGGUUUUCGUGCCCCUUUUACCGAGCCGUGCUGCCUUUUUCCGCGGGAUCCCGCCCCGGGGUGAAGUGCCCGGCCACCCGGCUCCCUGCCCGGGAACCAGACAAGCGCCCGCCUGCACGCCCGGCUGGGGCCAUGGCGGUCCCCGGGAAUCCUGCCCCGCGCGGGGGGGGGGGGGGUUAAACCUCGGUGAGCUCUGGCGAAGCAGCGAUUCGUAGUUUACAAGGGGCCUUUAACAGCCCGCCUGUUUAAAAGGGAGUCAGUCCCCCGAGUUAGUAGAGCAGGGGGAGGGAAGCAAGCGCAGGAGUGCAAUUGAUAGGGGGGUGCUUCCCCUCCCUGUGCACCUGCCUAAACACAGCCACAAAUGGAGGCGUCUGCUCCCCCUAAAGUCAGCCAGGGCUCAGCAGUGCGGAGCAGGCCGCAGUCACAGGGCUGACCGAGGCUGGAGGAAGGAGCUAUUGCCAAACGGGGCAGUCAGCUUUACCCACCAUGGGGAGCUGGAGGCGAAGCUCCUGGCUGCUAAGGAGCAGGAAAUACCAACUCUAUCAAAGGAGCAGCCCCCCCCGUGCAGCUGAUUGGAGUUUCCCAGGAGGAGCUGCUUCCACUCCCUGGAACUAAAUUUAGGACUAAAACCCCAGGGUGCUCUUCAUUUUCUGGCAAGCCAACGCCUAAUAACUUCCCCGCCCCCCACCUGUCCUUGCACCAGCCUCCAGCUUUGAUGCGAUGUGGCAGUAGCCCAGCACCUGCUUUUGGACUAUAAAGUGGUGCAGCUUUAAAGCUGGCACUGACCAGCGAGCAUGCAGUCAGCAGGACCCACACUGGUAAGGGGACAGGGCUGGUGCAUUGACCUACACUCCCCAGGCACAAAAAUGGACACAGCCCCUCCCCCCAGCAGCAGGCUAUUUCAAGGCCCAGACCCCUGAGUCUAGAGGCCUCUCGCUUUGUGGGCAGUAGAAGGAGAGAGGGGGAAAGCUCUAAAACCCCUGAUUUCCCCAGAAGCAG
rnacentral:lncRNA from 1 species